UACGUAGGGGGCUAGCGUUGUCCGGAUUUAUUGGGCGUAAAGAGCGUGUAGGCGGCCAGGUAGGUCUGGUGUGAAAACUCGAGGCUUAACCUCGAGAUGUCAUCGGAAACCAUUUGGCUAGAGUCCGGAAGAGGAGAGUGGAAUUCCUGGUGUAGCGGUGAAAUGCGCAGAUAUCAGGAAGAACACCCGUGGCUAAGGCGGCUCUCUAGUACGGUACUGACGCUGAGACGCGAAAGCGUGGGGAGCGAACAGG
rnacentral:rRNA from 1 species